rnacentral:lncRNA from 1 species
GGGAGCCGAGAGGGCGGCGUGCGGUCGCGGUUCUUCGCGGGAGGCUGCGGGCUGCGCGGGUGGGUGGGAACGUGGUGGAACUCCGGGCGCUGCGGCAGGGGCGACAGAGCGCCAUGGCGGCUGCUGUGGCUACGGCGGUCGGUGCCCGCACCGCGGCGAGGUGAGAGGACGCCUCUUUACCACAACUGAGGAGGCCAGGACAACCCGCCUGCCUGCACUCCACGCGGGCCGCGGCUACAGCAUGGCCGGGAUCAUUAAGAAGCAGAUCUUGAAGCAUCUGUCCCGGUGAGAGCGCCACCCUCCGUACCCGCUCCCUUCUCGAGCCCUCCGACCUCCCUCGGGCCGCACUAGGGCGAGCGGCUCCGGGCAGUCGCGAUUCAACUCUAGCGGGCCGUUGUCAGCGCUGCGUUCUUCCCUCGCCCGGGCCAGCUCCUUCCCCACCCCCGCCGCCGCCUCCUUCCUCAGCGCGGGUCACCCAGCCCUUUCCUGUCCGUAUCUCAUAGACCCGCACGGAACCCAGCCAGGCCAGCGGUCCAGGCCUCUUCCCGCGUCCCGAGCCGCCCAGCGCCGCUUCCUUUCUGGCUUUGCCACCCGGUGCUGGAUUACCCAGGUCCCCUUAGAUUGCAGCGCCGACGCUGGCCCUCUCCUUCUGGAAGGCGAGCUCCUCCUCUUCUGUCUGACCCUGUUGCAUCACCCUUGAAAAAGAUGUAAACCGAGGCUGGUCGUCCUUUCGGACCUCCCUCCUUUCUGGGUACGCUUUCUUCUCGUU